rnacentral:rRNA from 1 species
GACGAACGCUGGCGGCGUGCCUAACACAUGCAAGUCGAACGAGAAAUCCUUUAUUGAAACCUUCGGGAAGAUAUAAAGGAUGGACAGUGGCGGACGGGCGAGUAACGCGUGAGUAACCUGCCCAUAAGAGAGGGAUAGCCGAUGGAAACGUCGAGUAAUACCACAUAUUGUAUAAUCACCGCAUGGUGAAUAUAUGAAAGAUUUAUCGCUUAUGGAUGGACUCGCGUCAGAUUAGCUAGUUGGUGAGGUAACGGCUCACCAAGGCGACGAUCUGUAGCCGAACUGAGAGGUUGAUCGGCCGCAUUGGGACUGAGACACGGCCCAGACUCCUACGGGAGGCAGCAGUGGGGAAUAUUGCGCAAUGGGGGGAACCCUGACGCAGCAACGCCGCGUGCAGGAAGAAGGUCUUCGGAUUGUAAACUGUUGUCGCAAGGGAAGAAGACAGUGACGGUACCUUGUGAGAAAGUCACGGCUAACUACGUGCCAG